rnacentral:lncRNA from 1 species
ACUAGAAUCUACACAGACUGUACAUGAGUCUCACUAUAGCCUGUCAAUCCAUGUACAUCUAUGAAUAGGUUCUUAACCAAUUGUUUCUCUAAAUAACUUCUAGUAAUUAAUUUUGUCCCAAAUUUUUUCAGUAGACUAGGGCCUCCACUAAAAAUCUUGAUUAGGUCCAACCAUUAAUAUGAUCAUACUCAGCCCAUCUAACUAACAAAUGAUCAGACCCAACUAUAGUCAAUCAACUUAACUACCCAUC